rnacentral:pre_miRNA from 1 species
GAGACACCCCUAGGGGCAGGACCUGCUUCAGUAGGGCUUUGGUGCUCACUGCAUCUGCCCCUUGAGUGUGUCACU